UACGUAGGGGGCGAGCGUUGUCCGGAUUCAUUGGGCGUAAAGAGCUCGUAGGCGGCUUGGCAAGUCGGGUGUGAAAACUCCAGGCUCAACCUGGAGACGCCACCCGAUACUGCCAUGGCUUGAGUCCGGUAGGGGACCACGGAAUUCCGGGUGUAGCGGUGGAAUGCGUAGAGAUCCGGAAGAACACCGGUGGCGAAGGCGGUUAGCUGGGCAGUUGCUGACACUGAGGCGCGACAGCGUGGGGAGCAAACAGG
rnacentral:rRNA from 1 species